GACGAACGCUGGCGGCGCGCUUAACACAUGCAAGUCGAGCGAGAACCAGAGCUUCGGCUCUGGGGACAGCGGCGAACGGGUGAGUAACACGUGGGUAAUCUGCCCUCGGUUCUGGGAUAGCCCGGGGAAACCCGGAUUAAUACCGGAUGGCCUCUCGAGCUUUCGGGCUUGAGAGAAAAGGUAGCUUCGGCCUCCGACCGAGGAUGAGCCCGCGGCCGAUUAGCUUGUUGGCGGGGUAACGGCCCACCAAGGCGACGAUCGGUAGCUGGUCUGAGAGGACGAUCAGCCACACUGGGACUGAGACACGGCCCAGACUCCUACGGGAGGCAGCAGUGGGGAAUCUUGCGCAAUGGGCGAAAGCCUGACGCAGCGACGCCGCGUGCGGGAAGAAGGCCUCGG
rnacentral:rRNA from 1 species